UGUGACAUCACAAUGCUCCAAUAUGAUAUCACAAUGCUCCAAUGUGCAAACACUAUCGGACCAUGUUCCAUUAUAUUGCUCCAAUGUGCCAUUACAAUG
rnacentral:miRNA from 1 species